rnacentral:rRNA from 1 species
AAAGUUGUUGCGGUUAAAAAGCUCGUAGUCGGAGGUGUGUCUCGGACGGUCGGUUCGCCGCUUGCCGGUGCUCAACUGGCCGGUCCGGACGUCCUGCCGGUGGGGCCGCGAGGCUCCGUUAUCCUUCUUUGGUCCUCUUCACCGAGUGCCUUGGUGGGCCGGCACGUUUACUUUGAACAAAUUAGAGUGCUCAAAGCAGGCCGUUGGUCGCCUGAAUACUGUGUGCAUGGAAUAAUGGAAUAGGACCUCGGUUCCAUUUUGUUGGUUUUCAGAACUCGAGGUAAUGAUUAAUAGGGACGGACGGGGGCAUUCGUAUUGCGACGUUAGAGGUGAAAUUCUUGGAUCGUCGCAAGACGAACCGAUGCGAAAGCAUUUGCCAAGAACGUUUUCGUUGAUCAAGAACGAAAGUUAGAGGUUCGAAGGCGAUCAGAUACCGCCCUAGUUCUAACCAUAAACGAUGCCAGCUAGCCAUCCGCCGAAGUUCCUUCUAUGACUCGGCGGGCAGCUUCCGGGAAACCAAAGCUCUUGGNUUCCGGNNGAAGUAUGGUUGCAAAGCUCANACUUAAAGGAAUU